rnacentral:rRNA from 1 species
UACGGAGGGUCCAAGCGUUGUUCGGAAUGACUGGGCGUAAAGCGCUCGUAGGCGGGACUGUAAGUCGGACGUGAAAGCCCAGGGCUCAACCCUGGAAUUGCGCUUGAAACUGCAGAUCUUGAAUGCUUGAGAGGGUGAUAGAAUUCUAGGUGUAGGAGUGAAAUCCGUAGAUAUCUAGAGGAAUACCGGAGGCGAAGGCGGUCACCUGGCAAGACAUUGACGCUGAGGAGCGAAAGCGUGGGGAGCAAACAGG